UCCCCUGUUUUUUAAAAACAUUUCCUUCUUUUUAGAAGGUACUCCCUCCCAAUUGCAUUUGUAAGACUAUGCUAAGGUAGCAUAAUUAGUAGCCAUUUAAUUGGUGGAUUGUUUGAACGGGAAAAAGAGCUUUCAAAUUUUUUCGUUAUAAAAACAAAAUUAUAAAUUUGUUGAAAUUUUAGACGAGAAGACCCUUAAAUCUUUAAAAAUUUAAUUGUUGGGGCAACAAAAUUAUCAUAUAUUUUUAAAAUUAAUCUUUUCUUAUAUAAUAGAUACUUAAGGGAUAACAGCAUAAUAUUUUUUUUUAAGACCAAAUUAAAAAAAAAGAGUAUGACCUCGAUGUUGAACUAGAAUAAAUCUUGGCAGUAAAAGGUCAAGAGAAAAGACUGUUCGUCUUUAAAUUUCU
rnacentral:rRNA from 1 species